GACAGAGGGUGCAAGCGUUGUUCGGAAUUAUUGGGCGUAAAGGGCGCGUAGGCGGCUACAUAAGUCAUUUGUGAAAGCCCGGGGCUUAACCUCGGAAGUGCAAGUGAUACUGCGUAGCUUGAGUCUCGGAGAGGGUGGUGGAAUUCCCAGUGUAGAGGUGAAAUGCGCAGAUAUCGGGAGGAACACCUAUGGCGAAGGCAGCUCGCUGGGACGUUACUGACGCUGAGACGCGAAAGCGUGGGGAGCAAACAGG
rnacentral:rRNA from 1 species